UACGUAGGGUGCAAGCGUUGUCCGGAAUUAUUGGGCGUAAAGAGCUUGUAGGCGGUUUGUCGCGUCUGCUGUGAAAUUUCGGGGCUCAACCCCGAACUUGCAGUGGGUACGGGCAGACUAGAGUGUGGUAGGGGAGACUGGAAUUCCUGGUGUAGCGGUGAAAUGCGCAGAUAUCAGGAGGAACACCAGUGGCGAAGGCGACACGCUGGGCCGUACCUGACACUGAUGCGCGACAGCAUGGGGAGCAAACAGG
rnacentral:rRNA from 1 species